GCCCGAGCCAUUUCACCCUGCGGUUCUCACCUGGGUUUCCAUGGAAGCUAAGCAGGGUUGAGGCUGGCCAGUACCUGGAUGGGAGACCUCCUGGGGAAAACUAAGGCUGCUGCUGGAA
rnacentral:rRNA from 1 species